CUUUUAAAAUCAGAAUAUUCAGAUAUCAAAUUCAGCUCUCAACCUCCAUCUUCAUCAACCUUAGAAACCUAAACAUAUAAAAAUUUCAAAUAGCCAUAACUCCCUCAUUUUAACUCGGAAUUGAUCGAUUCUUGCGGCCACGGAACGAGCACGAGGUCCUCUAUCAUUCAAGCCCAGAAAAUCAAGACAAACCGAGAGGCGACUGGAUCGACAGUUUUGGCCUAGGAGUAUUCGGCCAAGACUAAUGCGUGUAAAUGAUUUGGAUUGGAAAGCAAGGAGUACCUAGACUUGGAGUGACUAGAAGUCUAUCAUUUUUCCGGGAGUCUGGCUUGCCAUGUACAGUCCGACUUCCAUGACCGCUGCAGUAGUACAUUGUGUGACCAGUCAUGACCUAUGAUUUAUUGUGUCGGAAAGUAUUUAUAACUGCUGUUGUGUAUAACAUGAAUAUUGUAAGGAUGUUAGGUUUACACAGUCAGUGUUUAUAAAAUGACUAUUAAUGUUUUCAUAAUUAAAUGCUUC